AACGAACGCUGGCGGCAUGCCUAACACAUGCAAGUCGAACGAAACCAUCGGGUCUUGUGGCGCCCGGGUGCGUCACGCGUGGGAACCUGCACUUAGGUUCGGCAUAACUCCCCGAAAGGGAUACUAAUGCCAGAUAGUAUCUUCUGCCGAAAAAUUUAUCGCCUUUCGUUGGGCCCGUGUUGAAUUAGCUUGUUGGUACGGUAAAAGCCUACCCAGGCGGCGAUCCGUAGCUUGCCUGAGUGGGUGAUCAGCCACACUGGAACUGAGACACGGCCCAGACUGCGAGGGGAGGCAGCAGUCGGGAAUCUUCCGCAAGGGGGGGAAGGCUGACGGAGCAAAGCGGCGUGAGUGAUGAACGUCUUCGGAUCGGGAAACUAUGUUAUUAGGGAAGAACAAAUGUGUAAGUAACUAUGCACGUCUUGACGGUACCUGAUCAGAAAGCCACGGCUAACUCCGUG
rnacentral:rRNA from 1 species